AACGCACAUUGCGCCCUUUGGUAUUCCGAAGGGCAUGCCUGUUCGAGCGUCAUUUCAAACCCUCAAGCUUAUGCUUGGUGUUGGGCUAUCGUCUUGUAAAAGAGACGUGCCUGAAACUCAUUGGCAGUAGCGCCUAACUCUUCAGCGUAGUUAAAUUUUUAUUUCGCUUUGGUAGUUUUUAGGCAUUACCCGCCAGAUGAACCCCCCCAAUUUUUCUAUGGUUUGACCUCGGAUCAGGUAGGGAUACCCGCUGAACUUAA
rnacentral:misc_RNA from 1 species